CCUACGGGUGGCAGCAGUGAGGAAUAUUGGUCAAUGGACGAGAGUCUGAACCAGCCAAGUAGCGUGAAGGAUGACUGCCCUAUGGGUUGUAAACUUCUUUUAUAUGGGAGUAAAAUGCUCCACGUGUGGGAUUUUGUAUGUACCAUAUGAAUAAGGAUCGGCUAACUCCGUGCCAGCAGCCGCGGUAAUACGGAGGAUCCGAGCGUUAUCCGGAUUUAUUGGGUUUAAAGGGUGCGUAGGUGGAUGGGUAAGUCAGUCGUGAAAGUUUGCGGCUCAACCGUAAAAGUGCAGUUGAAACUGGCAGUCUGGAGUACAGUAGAGGUGGGCGGAAUUCGUGGUGUAGCGGUGAAAUGCUUAGAUAGCACGAAGAACUCCGAUUGCGAAGGCAGCUCACUGGAGUGCAACUGACACUGAGGCUCGAAAGUGUGGGUAUCAAACAGGAUUAGAUACCCUAGUAGUC
rnacentral:rRNA from 1 species